rnacentral:lncRNA from 1 species
UGCUGGGAUUAAAGGUGGUCAGUCAACUCCACUGCCUGACUUUUUUUUUAAACCUUAAAUUAUUUUCUUUAUAUUAUGUUUUUCUGUUCACCAUUGUUUAGCAGCUUUUCAACCUCACCAAAAAAAAAAAAAAAAAAAAAAAAAAAAAAAAGAAUAGGGUAUUUUUUCUUACAGGAUGCUUUCUUCCUGGCCCCUUAUCUGUGCUAACUUUAAAUAUCUCUAGAGAAUAAAGCUGUUGUCACUUCCUCCGGAGACUGAACAACAAGCUGAUAGGGCCUGUAGUCAGGAAGCUGUUCCUGCUCUUCAGCUCCAGCUUUCCUUUGAAGUCGUCCUGGUAACUUGUGCUUUCUUGCUGGACCAGGCUAGAUGAUGCUUUUCUGCCAUUUUGAGCUUGCAUGCCUGUAAUGGUUCACGUGGUUAGCGGCUGCUUUCUCUCUGGCUCUCCUCCCCUUACUUAGUCUUUGUUUAGCUGAGUUAUGUUUUCUCUUGUUCCAUUGUCUAAAUGUCAGUCUGUCUCUCAAUAUUUUAUUAGCUUUGCCUGACUUGCUCUCCUAGUACAGUUCUUAGUUGGUCUCUGGUACAAAUGUGAUAUUCUAUAUGAUUCAUAUUCUAGAGAAGCAAGUUCCAACUUAUUUUUACUGUGAUUUUUGAGUUCUUUGAUUUCUCUCUCCAGGCAUAGCCUGAGCCUCGAAAUUACAGGUAGAGAAAGAUUCUCAGAAAAAAUUUAGAUAAAUAGGUAGAUGUGUGCAUGAAUGUAUGUAUAAAUUUUAUACUGGGGAUAAAUUGAUGGCCUCAGGCUUGCUGGGUGAACAGUUAGCUAUAUUUUCUGGCUCCAUGUUUAUUUUUAAAUGUAUAUAAAAGAUUGUAGCAGCCAAAUGAAACAAAUAUAUAAACAACACAAUUAUCAAAUCAGCUACUUAAACAACUACUCAUGAUUUAGAAGACUUCUUUACGAAGUGCUUCUUCCAAAUGUAGUUCCCUUAGUACAUGAAAAAGUAGAAAAAGUCAGGAGCCUUUGCUGAGUCAGAGUUAGUCAGAGGUGAAGACAAAGUAUCACUGGAGCCAGUGAAGAGAUGCAAUUGUAGCUUAGAGGGAAUAUGGUAAGAGGCAUCUGAAAAUUGUUCUUCCCAGUGUCUUGUUUCAGUCCAAGUUACUUAAAAUGUUUUUAAAAAAAACUCUUAUGUCAUCAUAUCAAUUUUAAGAAAUAGCUCUGUAGUGCUUGCUUAGUAGUAAUUUCAUGGUAGAAUAGAUUAGUGUUAAAAUUUAAAUAAUAACUUCGUUCUGGCUGGAGAGGUGGCUCUGGCUAGUGUGUACUGCUCUUGUAGGGGACCCAGGUUCAGUUCCCAGCACCCACACAUCAGAAGGCUCUUAACCUGUUGGAGGUCCUGCUCCAUGGGGAUGAGUUGGCCCUGGCCUCCAGGCACCUGGCUCACAUGCAGGUGCCCUCCAGCAAGUGCAUGUGUAAUACAAAUGCAUCUCAGGAAACCAUGAGGGUUAUCACUCAGGACGAACUAGCAACAGAAGGAAGACUGUAUUCCAAUUACUAUGUCAUAUCUAAGAUUAAAGAACUCUUUAAUGUUUUAUUAGUAGACUUUUCUUUGAUACUUAUUUAAUCCAAUGCUAUUUAAGUAGAUAUCCUUGAUCUUUUGGAUUUUGCUAGUAAGUUUUGAAAUUGGAAAAUAGUUUUAUGUUUUUGACUUAGAAUGUCUGGAGUAUCAAAGGCAACCACGUGUGAGAUGUUUGUGAGAUACUUGUGGAGCUGACACCUGGCAGACUGUGUAGAUCUGGAUCUUGCAGAGUGGUAUAUGCUGGUGCUGAGGGUCAGCUGUUCUCAAAGUGCUUUCCUAUGUGUUUUUGACUCUUAGUAGAAGAAGCACAUUAUGGUUCCUGUAUUAAACUGACAUGCCUCAGUGCAGCUGUGAUUUCAGACUCAAAGCCCGAAUGAUUUUUAAUGAAUUCAAAUGCUGAUUCGUGGUUUUUAAAGUCUUAGUCAGGCCUGGGUGGCUUCCUUGUGUUUAGAGACAAGCAGAUCUAAUAGCCAGGGGGGGAAAAAGUCUUUCUGGCUUGGGACUGUAAUAAUAGUCACACAGCAAUUAGAAAUGCAUAAGAGAAUAUGGUAGUGGCACAUGGCUUUAAUUCCAGCACUUGGAGGCCUAAGGCAGGAGAAUCUUGAGUUCUAGACCAGCUCAGGUUGGAUAAUGAGAAUGUAUC